GAAACGUGAUAGUUAAUGUGAAUUGCAGAAUUCAGUGAAUCAUCGAGUCUUUGAACGCACAUUGCGCCCAUAGGUAUUCCUUUGGGCAUGUCUGUUUGAGCGUCAUUACAACCCUCAGCUAACCGCUGGUUUUGAACCUGAACGGGUGACACCGCGCCGGUUUUAAAGUUGUAAGCUCUGCUGGCCGCUCUGCCCAACCAGAACAUAGUAAGCACUACUUGUCCGGGUGAAGCUGAACGGUACGGCCUGAACAAAACCUACCCACUCUCAAGGUUUGACCUCAGAUCAGACAAGGAUACCCGCUGAACUUAAGC
rnacentral:misc_RNA from 1 species